AACAUGCGCAGUGAAUGUGUUUGCUGUACAGAAAACAUUCCUCUGCACUGCCUCGGCGCAUGCACCUCCCAGCACAGCAGGUGGGAUGGGACUGAAAGAAGGGCUUUCGAGAUAUGUCCUCGGGAAACACUUACAGGUAGAAAGGGACUGGAAGAAGGGCCUUCGAAAUAUGUCCUCACGAAACACCAAGCGGUGGACUGAUACAGGAGGAGGGACAUCCAAAAUUUGGCCUCUGAAAACACCAAGAGAGUCUUACAUUCUGUUCCAUUUUCAGUCAAAAAAUAAAAUGCUCCUAUUCAGCUGAAACUAUGCACACGUUUCAUAUGGGACUGGAAGAAGGACCCUCGACCAAUUUGGCCUCAGAGA